GCCGGGCGUGGUGGCGGGCGCCUGUAAUCCCAGCUACUCGGGAGGCUGAGGCAGGAUAAUUGCUGGAACCCAGGAGGCGGAGGUUGCAGUGAGCCGAGAUCGUGCCACUGCACUCCAGCCUGGGUGACAGAGCAAGACUCCGUCUCGA
ensembl:misc_RNA Metazoa_SRP Metazoan signal recognition particle RNA